rnacentral:rRNA from 1 species
AUUGAACGCUGGCGGCAGGCCUAACACAUGCAAGUCGUACGAGUGGCGGACGGGUGAGUAAUGUCUGGGAAACUGCCUGAUGGCGGGGGAUAACUACUGGAAACGGUAGCUAAUACCGCAUACCAUCAGAUGUGCCCAGAUGGGAUUAGCUAGUUGCUGGGGUAACGGCUCACCAAGGCGACGAUCCCUAGCUGGUCUUAGUGGAUGACCAGCCACACCGUAACUGAGCCACGGUCCAUACUCCUACCGGAGACAGCAUGUGUGUUUUUUGCACCAUGGGCGCAAUCCUGAUGCAGCCAUGCCGCGUGUAUGAAGAUGGCCUUCGCGUUUUAAAGUACUUUCAGCGGGUAGGCGUUACCCGCAGAAGAAGCACCGGCUAACUCCGUGCCAGCAGCCGCGGUAAUAC